UUCUUUGCAGCUCAGGGAAAACUGCCACUGUCCUUUCCUGGUUGUCUGCUUCACAGUCUCCCAAGUGCCUAUUUUACCAGUAGGAUCCAUUAAUGGAAACAAUCAGGAGCCGGGAGAAAUUCAGGCUUUUUCAACGGUGCAGCUGGGAAAUUACAACUCCCACUAGAACACCAGUACCAUGAGGGCAAGGAUUUUCGUCUGCAUUCUCACCACCAUCAUCCCAGUGCCUGGGACAGUGCUGGGCACCUAGAAGCACUAUUUACAAUAGCCAGGACGUGGAAGCAACCUAAGUGUCCAUCGACAGAUGAAUGGAUAAAGAAGAUGUGGCACAUGUAUACAAUGGAAUGUUACUCAGCCAUUAAAAGGAACGAAAUUGAGUUACUUGUAGUGAUGUGGAUGGACCUAGAAGCUGUCAUACAGAGUGAAAAAAAAUGACUAAGUGUGAGUAACACUAAAAUAAACUUCCUGUAAAUUGCGAGAGGGAUACAUUGAAGGGGAGAAAAGCUCAGUGUUUCUACCACCGUUUGUGAAUUGUGUUACCAUGGAAACUGGUACCAUAAAACAGGCCACUUUGUUAUUCGACAAAGUAUUUAUUAGUUUCUGCAAUCAAAAAAGAAAACAAAAGGGGAUUUGAAAACAUUUUCAAGACCUCAGAAAGGAACUCCAGGACUUCCCCGGUGACACAGUGGUUGGGAGUCCUCCUGCCAGUGCGGGGGACACGGCUUAAAGCCCUGUUCCAGGAGGAUCCCACAUGCCGUGGAGCAACUAAGCCUGCGAGCCACAACUACUGAGCCCGCGUGCUGCAGCUGCUGAGGCCCGCACGCCUGGAGCCCGUGCUCCUCAGCGGGAGAGGCCACUGCAGUGAGAGGUCCUCGCACCGUGGUGAAGAGCGGCCCCUGUUCGCCACAGCUGGGGAGGGCCUGCAUGCAGCAACGAAGACCCAACGCAGCAAAAAAUAAAUUAAUUAAAUAAAUUUUUUUAAAAAUGAACUCCAUAUCCAUUAGUAGUCACUCCCCAUCUCCUACUCCCCCCACUCCCUGGAACCACUAAUGGACUCUAUGGAUUUGCCUGUUCUGGUCAUUUCAGAUAAAUGCAAUCAUAUACUACGUGGCCUUUUCUGUCUGGCUUCUUUCACUUAGCAUGUUUUCAAGGUUCAUCUUUUUGUGGCAUGUAUCAUAACUUCAUUCCAUUUUAUGGCCAAAAAAUAUUCUGUUGUAUGGCUAUCCCACAUUUUGUUAUUCAUUCAUUAAUUGAUGGAUAUUUGGGUUAUUGCUACAUGUUUGCUAUUAAGAAUAAUGCUGCUAUGAACAUUCAUGUGCAAGUUUUUUUGUGUGUAUGUAUAUAUUAUCAACUUUUGGGGGUAUAUACCUAGGAGCAGGAUUGCUAGAUUAUAUAGUAACUCUAUGUUAAUUUAUUGAGGAACUGCCAAACUGUUUUUCACAGUAGCUGCAUCAUUUUUCAUUUCUACCAGCAGUGUAUCAGCAUUCUGAUUUCUCCACAUCCUCACCAACACUUGUUUUAAUCUUAUUAUAGCCAUCUUAGUGGGUGUGAAGUAGUACCUCAUUGUGGUUUUGAUUUGCAUUUCUGUAAUGAUUAACGAUGUUGAACAUAUUUUCAU